GUAGCUCAGUUGGUAGAGCAUGGUGUUUGCAACGCCAGGGUUGUGGGUUCGAUUCCCACC
rnacentral:tRNA from 1 species